GUAACAAGGUUUCCGUAGGUGAACCUGCGGAAGGAUCAUUACCAUGGCGCAGAAGGUGGUGGAACAUACUGGGUAACCCCAGGAGUUAAUCCCUUCACGCUCUUCUACCCUUGUCUAUUUGCACCUUUGUCGUUCCCUCGGCGGGUCUUGAACCUGCCGGCGGCAACUUUCAAAACCUCUUGCAGUAGUAUCUAAUUCUUCUGAUUCAAUAUCAAAUUAUUACAACUUUCAACAAUGGAUCUCUUGGUUCUGGCAUCGAUGAAGAACGCAGCGAAAUGCGAUAAGUAGUGUGAAUUGCAGAAUUCAGUGAAUCAUCGAAUCUUUGAACGCACAUUGCGCCCCUUGGUAUUCCAUGGGGCAUGCCUGUUCGAGCGUCAUUUACACCCUCAAGCUUUGCUUGGUGUUGGGCGUCUGUCUAUGGACUCGCCCCAAAGAUAUUGGCAGCGGUCCUGCCGGGCCUUCCUAAUUGCGCAGCACUGUUCGCGCUACUUGGAGCCUGUUUGCAGGAUUCAGCAUCCAUCAAGCCCUUCUUCUUUAACUUGACCUCGAAUCAGGUAGGGAUACCCGCUGAACUUAAGCAUAUCAAUAA
rnacentral:rRNA from 1 species